CCUACGGGUGGCAGCAGUGGGGAAUAUUGGGCAAUGGGAGGAAUCCUGACCCAGCGACGCCGCGUGAACGAUGAAGGCCUUAGGGUUGUAAAGUUCUUUUAUGUGGGAAGAAGGAAGUGACGGUACCACAUGAAUAAGCCCCGGCUAACUACGUGCCAGCAGCCGCGGUAAUACGUAGGGGGCGAGCGUUGUCCGGAAUUACUGGGCGUAAAGGGCACGCAGGCUGUGAUUCAAGUCAGCUGUAAAAGGAUGCGGCUUAACCGUGUUUAGCAGUUGAAACUGGAUGACUGGAGUGCUGGAGAGGCAAGUGGAAUUCCCAGUGUAGCGGUGAAAUGCGUAGAUAUUGGGAAGAACAUCGGUGGCGAAGGCGACUUGCUGGCCAGUAACUGACGCUGAGGUGCGAAAGCCAGGGUAGCAAACGGGAUUAGAUACCCGGGUAGUC
rnacentral:rRNA from 1 species